rnacentral:lncRNA from 1 species
GUGUGUUAAUGAGCUAUCUCUUGAAUUUGUCCAUUGAUCGUGUCUCAGAAAUAUUUUCUCAUUGUUUCAUCACACUGAAACUUUGGCCAAGAAAUGUUUAAAAUUCAAAGCAUUGAUAUCAAUUUCCCCCCCUUUUUUUUUAAAGGCAACUUACAAGAUUAAAAUUAAAUUUGGUUGAUGAUGGUUCUGGACAAAUACAGCUCUUUUAUUUGAGGUAUGCCAUUUUGAAGACAGACCCGUGGAAUUUUAUCCUUGAGGAUAGGGGAAAUCUUUGUGAAAGUCUGUAUUUUAUAAAGCAAAAAGAAUAUAUCACUAAAGGUUGUCAGUGCAACAUAAAUUGUGUACUCAUUAUCUUGAGAAAGGGAUGAGAAAAAGCCCAUCAAAUUCUUUACCUUACAUCAAAGCAGUUUUGUGUUAAAACAUUAAAACAGUUGAUACAUGUAAUUUGUAACAGAGCGAUGAGACAUUUGAUGUUUUUCAAUCAAAUGGUGCUUUAGGGUUAUGGUUAAAUCAAUAGUUGAGUCAUCAGAAUUAUGUAUCUUUACAAUCUGAAAUGUACAUUCUGUAGACAUUUUUUUGUGAUGCAGAUUACAAAUGACCUAGAAUUUUGUAGUUGCAGCUCUUAUGAUUCUAAGGAACUAUAUUUCAAAAGCUAAAUACACUUUCAUAUUCUAGUUAUUAUGUAGUGAAUUUAAAAUUCUGAUUUUUUUUCUGUUUUUAUGAGUUCGCUUUCAAAUAGGCACAAAAAUAAGUAAGUUAUCUGAUAGGAAACUAGAAUAAUACGGCUGAGGAGACCUUGAAAAAUGUAGCUUAGUCUUUUUAAAGCAUAAGAAGGAAGAAAUAAUUUCAACAUAUGUGUGAUGUUUUGACAUCUUAAAGCUAGACAUAUGAAUGAAAAAAUAUGUACAAUGAAAAUUUUCAGGAAUUAUUUCCUACUCUUAAGUUAACACUAAAUGUGGAAAUAAAUGCCAAGCCAAUAUUAGCAAGGGAUUUACCAGAGGAAAUAUGUAAUAUAAUGAGAUAUCUUGGGAAAUUUUAAGAAUAGCCAAAUAACCAACUAGUUAACAUGAGGGCAGGUUUACCUUUGUGCUUGUAAUUUUUGUGGAAUAUCUUUUAUCUGUUGUUGUUGACUUAUUCUGUUGAUACAAAUAGGUGAUAAAAAGUAUUAUUUUUUUUACCUUUGCUUUAGCUUAAUUUUUGCCUUUCAGUCCUUUUGCAAUUUGACCAAAUUUGUGUUUAUUAUAGUGUGCAAAAGGAAACCAAAUGUUAGACCUUUAUACUUUUAAAAGAUGUAGCAUAUAUAGAAAAGUCAGUAUCUUUCAUCCUAAGUUUCUUUAAUACAAAUGUCAAGUUUAGGGUUUUCUCUGUGUAAAUGAUUGGAUAUUGGAUUGGCAUUCAGAUGUGGUUAGGCAUUGCUAUAAAAAUUGAGAAUUGAGCCUCUUAAGACACAAAUAUAUUUGAAAUUUAAUGUAAAUUUAAGCAUAAAUUGACAGUAAAUUUAUAAUCGCCUACCAGAGGUAUAAUUUGACCCAUAAAAAAAGAAUAAAGAAGAUUAGAAACAUUAAAUGAAGAUUAUCCUUUUUAGUCUAGUAUUAGUAAUUAUAAAAAUAACAAAUGAUACGGUAAGUUCUACAUUAAUGUAAUAGAAUACAGCUUUCUUUUUAUUAUCAACAAGGCAAAAGUAAUAAAUUACAUUUUAAAAAGAUCUGCAUGGACUUCUGAGCCAAGCUUGUAAAAUUUGCAAUGUUUUUGAUGUAUAAAAAUAGUGGAUUCAUGAGAAUAAAAUGAAGAUACUACUUUAAAUUACUAUAUUUCAUAAAUAAUUUACUUUGCUACCAUUUUCUGCUUAAGAGCCAGAGUGAUAAAUGCUUAAAUAUUUGUUUUUAUUUUAGCAUUUUGAAUCUUGAACCAUAAAAAUCACCUGAUCAAGUUGGUGAUUGGGUUGCAUUGCAUUUGUUAGUUAUAGUAAUAACUGUUUAAAAAAUUACCCAAAGUUCCACAGAAAUGAAAGAAACCAUGCCUGUAGUUAAUACAAGGUUGUUAUGAACUAUACAUGUCACUAAGAGGCUAGAUUAUAUGAAAUUAAUCUUGGAAGGCCGUUAGGCUUACCAUUAUACCAUCAACGUACACUGAAAUAGGUAAUUUUGAAUACAAAUUUUCUUUUAAGUUUAGUUUACUAUUACCCGAAGUUUCUUAUUUAAAAAUUUGGACUGUGGACAGCCAAUUAAUUUACCUUUUCUAUGAGAUUUAUACUUUUUUGAGAGGCUUAGGGGGAAAAAGAUAAUUUGAGGACCUCUCCAUCUCUUGCAUUGAUGAGAGGUGUGUGAUAGAGCAGAAAGUAUAACUCUGAUGCAGCAGUCAGGAGAGCUGGCUUCUAACCUAAAUUACCCUUGUGAUUUUGACGUUUUAUUCAUUGUGGCCCUUCUCUUAAUUUGUUUAAAGUAUUUGAAAUAUUCAAUUUCUUAUGAUACCUUUUUGGUCUCAAAUUGUGUGGUAAAAAUAAUAGAAUGUCUUGAUUCUCUUAAACUGCCUAAUUAUUUUUGUAGUUUUUGAAUUGCAAAUCAUGGUUGUUAUUUCUGUGGUGAAGUUAAUUUGAAUAACAAGACCUGGGUGAUAAUGUACCCAGCUUUCCUAAUUUUAGGCAUUCCAUAAUAUUAAUAAAUAGUAUAAAGCAGACAUAAUGGAAAGUUAAUCUUAAAAAGCAGUUAAGGUGUGAAAUUGUCUUUAAAAAACAAAGAUUUAGAAGGCUACAAUAAAAACAUUGUUUGAAUUUUUGCCUAGUUAUUUUAUUAAAUAAUUUAAAGAUUAGUGUAUUUAAGGUAAUUUGCACCUGACCAUCUGAUUAUAAAUGGUGAUUUAUAAUUUACAUGCUUGACAUAAUCUUUUUAAGAAGUUUCUAUUCUUCAAUGAUAAAUAUACCUCAUUUACCUUUUCCCUUACAGAUCGAGUGGCUCAAAACAGACAGUUUUCAUAUUGGCUGUUAGUGCUGAAUAUAGAUAAUUUUUAAAAUUUAAAUUCAAGGAUACUCUCAACUUUCUAAAGCAAAAACUGACUUUAUUUACGUAACAUUCAAGUAGCAUGUUUCUUACCGUUUGAUAAAGUUUUAUACAUUGUAUAAAGCUAGAUCCCUGUUUUAAAAGAUAGUUCUUUGUUUUUUGAAACUAUUCCAUUUAUUUGAAAUUGAAUAUUUCCUAAGCAAGCAAUUAUAUCCUUAAUGUGAUAGAGUCAUUUCAAUUUAGGUUAUUAAGCUAGAUAUUUUGCUUAACAUUAAUGGUUUGUGAGUUGUGAUGUUUUCUUAUAUAACUGUUAAUGAAUUUAUCACUACCUUAUUUUUGUGGAAGAUUUCUUAUAUUUCACAGUACUCUCAGGUUUAAUUCUUAAUUUAAAUGUAAAAAUUGUUUUAGGGACUUUAAAAGGUGACAAAAUCAGGAGUUCCCAUCGUGGUGCAGCAGAAACAAUCCAGCUAGGAACCAAGAGGUUUUGGGUUCGGAUCUCUGCUCUGUGGGUUAAGGAUCUGGCAUUACCAUGAGCUGUGGUGUACGUUGCAGAUGUUCAGACUUGGCGUUGCUGUGGCUGCUGUGGCAUAGGCUGGCAGCUUGGAUUGGAUCCCUAGCCUGGGAACCUCCAUAUGCUGUGGGUGCAGCCCCCCCCCAAAAAAAAGGUGACAAAAUAAAAUAUUCUUAGAUGCACAAAUGGGCUAGUAAUGGUAGGACUUGAUUCAGGCCAUCUUGUCUUUUAUUAUGACAAGCAAUCAAAAUUGUUAUUUGCAUUAUAGCUAUAAUUUCAUACUAAAUGAGGAUCUUUGAUACUGCAAAAUAUUAAAAAUAGGUAGGCAUGUGAGCAAAAUUAUCAACUUUGAUAGUUUGCUUAAUGUGAACUUGGUUUACCUCCCCCUUAAAAGGAGGGCUGAGUGGGCCGAGUACUGCUUUGUCAGUGUUUGGAAAGGAAAUUGUAUGGCAGGUUAAAUGGGUGUCAGUAAUCUUUGUGGUGGUACAAGAUGUGACCCAGGUCAUCUUCUGUUUUUGGUGGACUGAGCACCUUGAGCCCUAAUACUUGUACUGGUAGGUAGCCUUUUUUUCCUUUUUUUCUUUUUUUUAAAUUAGAGUACAGUUGAUUUACAAGUAGGUAGCUUUUUUGUAAGCAGGUUCUCAGACUGAUGUGAUAGAUUUCCCUCAGACUUUGCUUUCACCCAACAUUCCUUAGGUCAUUUCCACCCUUCUCUUGGGGUUUAUAUCAAUUUAUUUUACUUGGCUGAUUUAGAAUUUGUCUUUGUUCACAAACUUUUCUUUAUAAAGUCAGAUUAAAUUUGGAAGUUUAAGAAUAAAUAAUGCUGUGUUUCUUGUAAAUUGCUUCAUUUAUUAACUUCUUGGGAGGAUAUUUUAGCAUGUUGCUCUUAAAAGUAAUUUUGAAGCAGAUCUUUGCAAUAUUUCUUGGUUGUGAUUAGUCAAAAUGAUUAAAGGGAUUUAGAUUUGGUAAGAUAAUCAGGAAGUUGGCUUUAAAGUUUGAAAAUUGGAAACCUUAGUCAUGGAAAAGCAUUUGGGUAAGCAUAGUUUUAGAUUAAGUCCUAAACUUUGGCUUUCUAAAAAUCCUUACAUUGCUACACUUAAAUAGUGAACUUUUAAACAAAGCUUUUUGGGUAGUUCUAGCUAUUGUGAUUAUUAUGAUCAACUUAGGAGCAGGCGAGACUGAAAAAAGUGUAUACCUAUGUUCUCAAAAAUGUAUUUGAGAUGUAGGAAACAUCUUUCACAUGAGGUAUUUCAGUCUAACUAGUGAACUAACUAGUGAAGACUAUGGAUGUAUCCUGAUCAAGCAAAUAUUUUUAGGAAGGGUUAGUAUUGAGUAGGUCAUUGUAAGUAGUAGUACAAAAAGCUUGACAUUUUAAGAUUUCGAUCCUAGAACAGUGUUGAUUAGAGUACAUGAUAAUGUGAAAUAAUAUGGUAAUAUUAAGGAGUGAGUAAUACGGCCUUGCCAGGUUGGUAAUGGAAGUUUUCCUUUAGAAGUCUUAAAAGUAGAUUAGAUGAAAGACUAGAAAAUAAAGUAAUUCUGUGCUGUUAAGGAGUGAUAUUGGCUUUUAUAUUAAUCAGCUACCUCUCAGCUGCCCAUUAGAUCUACCUAAAGAGCCCAGACUUUACUAGGGAGUUCUUGGAGCAUGAGAAAUGUUUUUACUCUACAGGUGAGCCUUCUGAACAGUCAAAUUUAAGAUCCUCUGGAUUAGAACUUUGUUGUUUUGUUUUGUUUUGUUUUGUUUUGGAUUAGAACUUUUGGCUACAUUUAUAAAUGCACAUAUGUCUUGGUCUUUUGGAGAGUGAUCCUGAUAAGGUGUUGAAAUUUCCAAAUCUAUUUUUGUCUUUUUUGUAUGUGUACAAUUAUAUUCUUUUUGUUUUCUGCAGCAAUAUGAAUCCUGAGGCUGAAUUGUCUAAGGGGCCUGUACAGCGAAAUAGAUGUAAGUUUUACUCAAUUUACAUGUUUAAUUUGUUUUUUACUUUUACAUGUGACUUUGGAAAUUCUGAGUAAUUGAGUCAGAGUCUCUAAAAAUGUAGAAGAAUUUAGUGAAGUUCCAAGCAGUACAGAUAUAAAUCAACAUAGAUGUAUGUGGCUUAUUAUUAAAAUUUUGGUUAUUCCAACCUCUUUUCCUUUCUUUACUUAAAGAGAGGUAUAAAUGGAUGGAAGGAAACUCACAUUUGAACAUUCUUCUAAUACUGCACCCUAGCUGUUGGUAAGCUCCCCAUUUUUAUAAAUAAAGUUUUAUUGGAACACAGCUAAGCUCUUUCAUUUACGUAUUAGCUGUGUCUGCUUUCUGACUACAGCUGCAGAGAGUAGAUUUAGCUAAUGGCCACAAACCCUAACAUAUUUAGUUAUUUAGUAUUUUAACCUGUAAGGAAAUCUUGCCUAUCCUUUCCCUAGAUUCAUCCUUUUUGUCAACUUUAUGUAGAACUCAAAAGCACUUGGAUUCUCUUAAUAAUGGGGGUGUACCUUUUACUUUGUUAGUAUUUCAUUGUUAGAAUUCAAAUAACAUAAGUAAUCAUGAGCUUGGCUUAAACUCCAAAGCCCAACAAAGGUUCUUUCACACCAGCAUUAUGCUUUAAUAUUAGAAGAUUUGGGGAGUUCCCGGUGUGGCACAGUGGAAAUGAAUCAACUAGUAUAGUAUCCAUGAGGAUUUGGGUUCUAUCCCCGGCCUCACUCAGUGGAUUAAGGAUUUGGAGUUGCUGUGAGCUGUGGUGUAGGCCAGCAGCUGCAGCUCUGAUUCGACCCCUAGUCUAGGAACUUCCUUAUGACACAGGUAUGGCC